rnacentral:lncRNA from 1 species
AAAUAUUGUAUUUGAAUUUAAAUUGCUCUAACAUAACUUUCAUUUGCGUCAUAUGACUCGCACAUGAUAUCCAACAGUGCGUACAUGUUUUAUAUUGUUCUUCAUCUACUGAUUGCACAAAAUAAUCAAAAUACUGUCAUGCUAAAUAUACAUGUGAUUAACUAUAAAGCAUGUGACGUCAAUCUAUUGUCACGUUUUAUACUCAUCUUGUGUGUCAAAGAUCGGAGCAACCAUGUACUGUUUGCACAAUUACGACAGUUAUGAGGUUUUAGACACGGACUGCCCGG